CCUGAGAGGGUGAUCGGCCACACUGGGACUGAGACACGGCCCAGACUCCUACGGGAGGCAACAGUAGGGAAUCUUCCGCAAUGGACGCAAGUCUGACGGAGCAACGCCGCGUGAGUGAUGAAGGUUUUCGGAUCGUAAAGCUCUGUUGUUGGUGAAGAAGGAUAGAGGUAGUAACUGGCCUUUAUUUGACGGUAAUCAACCAGAAAGUCACGGCUAACUACGUGCCAGCAGCCGCGGUAAUACGUAGGUGGCAAGCGUUGUCCGGAUUUAUUGGGCGUAAAGCGAGCGCAGGCGGAAGAAUAAGUCUGAUGUGAAAGCCCUCGGCUUAACCGAGGAACUGCAUCGGAAACUGUUUUUCUUGAGUGCAGAAGAGGAGAGUGGAACUCCAUGUGUAGCGGUGGAAUGCGUAGAUAUAUGGAAGAACACCAGUGGCGAAGGCGGCUCUCUGGUCUGCAACUGACGCUGAGGCUCGAAAGCAUGGGUAGCGAACAGGAUUAGAUACCCUGGUAGUCCACGCCGUAAACGAUGAGUGCUAGGUGUUAAGGGGUUUCCGCCCCUUAGUGCUGCAGUUAACGCA
rnacentral:rRNA from 1 species